GACGAACGCUGGCGGCGUGCUUAACACAUGCAAGUCGAACGAUGAACCGGUUUCGGCCGGGGAUUAGUGGCGAACGGGUGAGUAACACGUGGGCAAUCUGCCCUGCACUCUGGGACAAGCCCUGGAAACGGGGUCUAAUACCGGAUACGACAUGGGAAUGCAUGUUCCUGUGUGGAAAGCUCCGGCGGUGCAGGAUGAGCCCGCGGCCUAUCAGCUAGUUGGUGGGGUAGAGGCCUACCAAGGCGACGACGGGUAGCCGGCCUGGGAGGGCGACCGGCCACACUGGGACGGAGACACGGCCCAGACUCCGACGGGAGGCAGCAGUGGGGAAUAUCGCACAAUGGGCGAAAGCCUGAAGCAGCGACGCCGCGUGAGGGAUGACGGCCUUCGGGUUGUAAACCUCUUUCAGCAGGGAAGAAGCUUUCGGGUGACGGUACCUGCAGAAGAAGCACCGGCUAACUACGUGCCAGCAGCCGCAGUAA
rnacentral:rRNA from 1 species